rnacentral:rRNA from 1 species
UACAGAGGUCUCAACCGUUGUUCGGAUUCAUUGGGCGUAAAGGGUGCGUAGGCGGUCGCGCAAGUCGGAUGUGAAAUCUUAGGGCUCAACCCUGAAACUGCAUUCGAUACUGCGUGGCUCGAGUACUGGAGAGGAGACUGGAAUUUACGGUGUAACAGUGAAAUGCGUAGAUAUCGUAAGGAAGACCAGUGGCGAAGGCGAGUCUCUGGACAGUUACUGACGCUGAGGCACGAAGGCCAGGGGAGCAAACGGG